GCCGGGGUACCCAAGCUAGGUAAGUACAAUAUUGGCCCUAAGAGGGGUCAGCCUCGAGAGCUGAUGUCCGCAAGGACUCGUGGGUUCGAGUCCCACUCCCGGCG
rnacentral:tRNA from 1 species